rnacentral:rRNA from 1 species
CCGCACGGGUGAGUAACACGUAUCCAACCUGCCGUCUACUCUUGGACAGCCUUCUGAAAGGAAGAUUAAUACAAGAUGGCAUCAUGAGUCCGCAUGUUCACAUGAUUAAAGGUAUUCCGGUAGACGAUGGGGAUGCGUUCCAUUAGAUAGUAGGCGGGGUAACGGCCCACCUAGUCUUCGAUGGAUAGGGGUUCUGAGAGGAAGGUCCCCCACAUUGGAACUAAGACACGGUCCAA